AUUCAAAUUUGUUUGCUUUUAUAAAAGUGUAGAUGCUCUUAUCCUUGUGCCCUUGAAUUCAUAUAUAAGCUGUACUCAUGUGUUUCUGGGAUCAGUGGCUAUGGUGGGGACAAAAAGAUGUUUCUCUUGGAAGAAUCUUUUAACAGAUUGUCUCUUAAUUUUUCCUUUGAUCAAGGAAGUAGUACUCUUUUUCAGGAUCCAGAGUUAUUCCAGUAUCUUCUCUUUAUUUCUAGUAUUUGGCUUUUACUUUUCUGCAAUUCACUCUUAUCUAGUUUGUUCAUCUG
rnacentral:lncRNA from 1 species